rnacentral:rRNA from 1 species
UACAGAGGUGGCAAGCGUUGUUCGGAAUUACUGGGCGUAAAGGGCGCGUAGGCGGCCUUCUAAGUCAGACGUGAAAUCCCCCGGCUUAACCUGGGAACUGCGUCUGAUACUGGAGGGCUUGAGUGCGGGAGAGGGAUGUGGAAUUCCAGGUGUAGCGGUGAAAUGCGUAGAUAUCUGGAGGAACACCGGUGGCGAAGGCGGCAUCCUGGACCGACACUGACGCUGAGGCGCGAAAGCGUGGGGAGCAAACAGG